GAAACGUCCUCCGACCUGGAGAAAAACAGUAACAUUUCCAAAUAACAUCCUUACAACUGGAUAGUAAUGGCCAGAAGCUGUCUCAGUCACCUGUCCUACUUGCCCUGUGUGCUGCUGAUGUGGUAAUUACAAGUAGAAGGACACAAACAAGAAAGGCAGCAGAAGAGGAAGCUUUGCAAUUAUUUUGGGAAACAGCAGUCAAACAACUAGAGCAUACUACCCUCCAGCCUCAAACCAAACAGAAGAUUUACAAGUCUCAAUGCUGUCUGCCAUUAGCAGCUACCUGUGAAAGCAAUGGGAAAGGAGCUCAGAUCACGGAUGAACCUACAGUUUCAAUCAGCCACUUCAGCCAGCACAGAUAAAUUGGGAAUUUUGCACUCUUCCAGAAGCAGUUACCUAUCAACUCGGUACCCUACAAUUUUUAAAAGUGCAGUGAUUGCUCAGAUAGCCUAAGCAAAAACACAAGACUUUAAGAGCACAUAGAGUUUGAAGAUACCAAUAUGAAUGCUUUCUUCAUCCUUGCCUGAACCUACACAGACAUAAUGUAAUUAAAGAUCCUUUCUCUAUGGUGCCUUCAUUUCAUUCAAAACAGAACAGAGCAGUGAAAGGAGGCACGUUAUAGGAACAGGACUGGCAAAUGAAAUGUGAGGCCAUACAUCAAAGAAGUCUGGAACUGCUAAUCAUUCAAAAAGCAAAAACCUUUGCACCCAGUAAGGAGGGAGCCUGAUUUAAAUUGCAGAAACUCCUGUCAGGAGUACAUUCACAGGAGCUAUAGGUCACACUGUUUAUGUGGACUGUCUGGCUUUAGUGCUCUGGGUGUUCAACUCAGCCAGUUCUUCCCAUUAGUUUCCAAACAGAGAGAAAGGACAAAGGAUUGAGUUUCUUCAUGAAAGGAAGAGCACACGUGAGCCACAGCAAGAGGCACAAGGAAAUUAAUAUAAACAAUAUUCACAAACACAGGCUCUCAGUACAAGUCACACAGCUAUUGCUGUAAAGUUAAGUUGGUUUACACACGUAUUAGUGCCAAAGUCGUGGCAUUACCUUUCC